CCUACGGGGGGCAGCAGUGGGGGAUAUUGCACAAUGGGGGAAACCCUGAUGCAGCGACGCCGCGUGGGCGAAGAAGUAUUUCGGUAUGUAAAGCCCUAUCAGCAGGGAAGAAGAAAUGACGGUACCUGAGUAAGAAGCACCGGCUAAAUACGGGCCAGCAGCCGCGGUAAUACGUAUGGUGCAAGCGUUAUCCGGAUUUACUGGGUGUAACGGGAGUGCAGGGGGCACGGCAAGCCUGAUGUGAAAGCCCGGGGCCCAACCGCGGGACUGCAUUGGGAACUGCCGGGCUGGAGUACCGGAGAGGUAGGCGGAAUUCCUAGUGUAGCGGUGAAAUGCGUAGAUAUUAGGAGGAACACCAGUGGCGAAGGCGGCCUACUGGACGGUGACUGACGCUGAGGCUCGAAAGCGUGGGGAGCAAACAGGAUUAGAUACCCUGGUAGUC
rnacentral:rRNA from 1 species